rnacentral:rRNA from 1 species
AGCGAACGCUGGCGGCAGGCCUAACACAUGCAAGUCGAACGAACUCUUCGGAGUUAGUGGCGGACGGGUGAGUAACACGUGGGAACGUGCCUUUUGGUUCGGAAUAACUCAGGGAAACUUGUGCUAAUACCGAAUGUGCCCUUCGGGUGAAAGAUUUAUCGCCAUUAGAGCGGCCCGCGUCUGAUUAGCUAGUUGGUGAGGUAACGGCUCACCAAGGCGACGAUCAGUAGCUGGUCUGAGAGGAUGACCAGCCACACUGGGACUGAGACACGGCCCAGACUCCUACGCGAGGCAGCAGUGGGGAAUCUUGCGCAAUGGGGGAAAGCCUGACGCAGCCAGGCCGCGUGAAUGAUGAAGGUCUUAGGAAUGUAAAAUUCUUUCACCGGGGACGAUAAUGACGGUACCCGGAGAAGAAGCCCCGGCUAACUUCGUG